GGGUUCGAUUAUGGCUCAGAUUGAACGCUGGCGGGAUGUCGCUACACAUGCAGAGUGGGGGCAGCAGCACGGACUUCGGUCUGGUGGCGAGUGGCAGAACGGGUGAGUAAUGUAUCGGAACGUGCCUAGUAGCGGGGAUAACUACGCGAAAGCGUGGCUAAUACCGCAUACGCCCUUCAGGGAAAACCAGGGGACCUUCCGGGCCUCACCGCACUAUUAGAGCGGCCGAUAUCGGAUUAGCUAGUUGGUGGGUAACGGCUCACCAAGGCGACGAUCCGUAGCUGGUUUGAGAGGACGACCAGCCACACUGGGACUGAGACACGGCCCAGACUCCUACGGGAGGCAGUGGGGAAUUUGGAUGUGGAAACCCUGAUCCAACCAUCCGCAUUGGCUGCGAUGAAGGCCUUCGGGUUGUAAAGCACUUGUGGGAAAGAAACGGCACGGGAUAUUACCCGUGCAACUGACGAACACCUGCAGAAUAACUUUCAGCUAACUACGUGCCAGCAGCCCGCCAUGACAUACGUAGGGUGCAAGCGUUAAUCGGAAUUACUGGGCGUAAAGCGUGCGCAGGCGGUUCGGAAGAAAGAUGUGAAAUCCCAGAGCUUAACUUUGGAACUGCAUUUUUAACUACCGAGCUAGAGUGUGUCAGAGGAGGUGGAAAUUCCGCAUGUAGCAGUGAAAUGCGCUAUGAAUGCGGAGGAACACCGAUAAAACACUUCUCCUGGGAUAACACUGACGCUCAUGCACGGCGCGAAAGCGUGGGAGCAAACAGGAUUGAAUACCCUGGUAGUCCACGCCUAAACGAUGUCAACUAGCUGUUGGGGCCUUCGGGCCUUGGUAGCGCAGCUAACGCGUGAAGUUGACCGCCGCAAGUACGGUCGCAAGAUUAAAACUCAAAGGAAUUGACGGGGACCCGCACAAGCGGUGGAUGAUGUGGUUAAUUCGAUGCAACGCGAAAACCUUACCUACCCUUGACAUGUCUGGAAUCCCGAAGAGGGUUGGGAGUGCUCGCAGAGAGAACCGGAACACAGGUGCUGCAUGGCUGUCGCCAGCUCGUGUCGUGAGAUGUUGGGUUAAGUCCGCAACCGGGCGCAGCUGUCAUUAGUUGCUACGAGGAGCACUCCCAAUGAGACUGCCGGUGACAAACCGGAGGAAGGUGGGGAUGACGUCAAGUCCUCGGCGCCCUGGGUAGGGCUUCACACGUCAUACAAUGGUCGGGACAGAGGGUCGCCAACCCGCGAGAAGACCAAUCGAGAAACCCGAUCGUAGUCGGAUCAUGAUCUGCACGCUCGACUGCGUGAAGUCGGAAUCGCUAGUAAUCGCGGAUCAGCAGCAUGUCGCGGUGAAUACGUUCCCGGGUCUUGUACACCGCCCGUCACACCAUGGGAGUGGGUUUUUGCAAGAAGUAGUUAGCCUAACCGUAAGGAGGGCGAUUACCACGGUAGGAUUCAUGACUGAGGGUGAAGUCGUAACAAGGUAA
rnacentral:rRNA from 1 species